UAUGCCAUCUGCAAGCUGGAGAAACAGCAAAGCUGAUGAUGUAAUUCAGUCCCAGUAUGAAGGCCUGAGAACCAGGAAUUCUGAUAUCUGAGGGCAGGAGAAGAUGGAUAUCCCAGCUGAAGAAGAGAGAGGGAGAAAGAAAGUGAGGGAGACAGAGAGAGAGAAUUUGCCCUUCCUCCACUUUUCUUGUUCUAUUUGGCCCUCAAAACAUUGGAUGAUGCCACCCACACAGGGGAGAGUGGAUCUGCUUUACUCAGUCUACUGAGUCAAAUGCUAAUCUCUUCCAGAAACACCCUCACAAACACACCCAGGAAUAACGUUUACCAGCUACCUGGGCAUCCCUUAGCCCAGUCAAGUUGACACCUAACAUUAACCAUCACAGACAUGGAAAGUGGCAAACCCUGGAGAUCUGCAGGAUAUGUCAGAAUCCAAAACCUCAGCAAGGUAGGCAAGCUGAAAAAGCUCCGAAAAAGCCAAGCAAGCUGCUUUUAUCUUCCGACCCAGACAAAAUCCCUCUCCAAACUGGGCCAGUUUAAGGUCAAUAAGUGAUUGCAAUCAGCUGGCUCAAGUGGGUGCUUCCUGGAAUGGCGAAGCUAGGCAGUUUUGCCAGAAGUCGUUGCUGUGAGCAUCAGGGUUCAGAGUUGAGUCUUCAACACCAGACCUCUGCGAUGGGCUUCCGGAUUCGAGGCCCCGUCCCUUUCUCAGAAGUAUAUAGAAAGCUGCAUGGUGAAAUGAAUGGUGUCUGUUCCACUUCACAGUUUAUACCCAGCAUCUAACUCAGGACUUGGCACAUCACAGGAGCCUAAUAAAUAUCUGUUGAAAAGUGAACGAAAUAAAAGCUACACUUACGCAA